GAGUGGGAAUGGGGUGAGGAAUAAAAGACUACAAAUUGGGUGCAGUGUACACUUCUCGGGUGAUGGGUGCACCAAAAUCUCAGAAAUCACCACUAAAGAACUCAUUCAUGUAACCAAACACCACCUGUUCCCUAAUAAUCUAUGGAAAUUAAAAAAAGUUUUAAUCUUUAAAAAAUAAAAAAAGAAAGAACCAUCCCAAACCUAAUAAUUAGAAUUGGCAAAAAUAAAUUAGCUUACUGUAAAUAAGUUAGUAAGAAUUGGUUCAGUAGAUUUCAAGCUACUUAUUAGAGAUUGUGUAUUUUGAAAUUAGAAACCGUAUAAUUUUGAAUAUCAAGUUACAGAGGAUGAGAGGAUUAUUAAAAAGUUGAUUAUUAAAAAAGUAAUCUGAGAAUAUGAAGAAUAAUCUCAAAUUUAUCAAUAAUUUGUUGUAUCACUUGAAAGCGAAUCAUUUAAAUUAAAAUAAAUAAAUAAGAUUAUAAAUAAACAAACAGUAGCAUUAUUACUUCACUUAAACAGUACUUCUUAUGGUGUAAAUAUUGACUCCAUUGUGGAGGUUCAGUUGAGAAUUGUUUUUAACUAUUUUCUAAAGACUUUGUGUACAAUUUACUUAAUUAUAUCCUUGAAUGUCUGAUCCAAUUCACCAACUGAACUCUUUAGUACUGGAAUUUCUUUUCUUUACUGUUAUUAUUAUUUUUUUGAGACAGGGUCUUGCUUUGUUGCACAGGUUGGAGUAAAUGUGCAAUCUUAACUCACUGCAGCCUUCACUUGCCCAGUUAAAUUGAUCCUCCACCUCAGUCUUAUGAAUUCCUGGGACUACAAGCAUACGCCACCAGACCUGGCUAAUUUGUAUGUGCUUUCUGUUGUUGUUGUUGUUGUUGUUGUUGUUUUCUCCUAGAGAAAAGUUCUCACUAAAUUGCGCAGGCUGGUCUGGAACUCCUGGGCUCAAGCAAUCUUCCUGCAUCAGCCUCCUAAGGUGUUGGAAUUACAGGCCUGAGCCACUGUGCCUGGCCUAGAAUUUUUUUAUAGAAAGUUAUUUUUUAAUAAUGAGUUUAAUUUAAUUAAUAUAGUUAUUCAGAUUUUCUGUUUUAUCUUUUAAUUUUGGUAAGUUGCAUUUUUUCAGAAAUGUGUGCCUUUUACUCAGUUGUCACAUUUGUCAAUAUAAAGUUAUAUUCCCUUAUUACGGUUAUAAUAUGUGAAGGGAUAAAACCUGCUUUAUUCCCAACAUUACUGGAUUAUUUUUAAUUCAUUUUUUUGACCAAUGUAGCACAGGCUUGAUCAAUGUUGUUUAAAGUAAAUAGCUUUUGACUUUGUUAAUUUUUUUCUAUUUCACUGACGUAUGCUCGCAAAUUUACUAACGAGUCAUUCUAUGAAAGAGAAACAUGCACAUGCACAUUUAUAGUAGCACAAUUCUCAAUGGCAAAUACAUGAAAUCAACCUAAAUACCUAUGAACCAAUGAAUGGAUAAAGAAAACACGGUAUAUAUACACCGUGGAAUACUACUGAGCCAUCACACGAAAUGAAAUGAUGGCCUUUGCAGCAACUUGGGUGGAGCUGGAGGCCAUUAUUCUAAGUGAAGUAACUCAGGAAUGGAAAACCAAAUAUUGUAUGUUCCCACUUACAAUAAGUGGGAGCUAAGCUAUGAGGAUGUAAAGGCAUAAGAAUGGUAUAAUUAACUUUGGAAAUACAGGAAGCAAUUUGGGAGGAGGUUGAGGGAUAAAAGACUACAUAUUGGGUACAGUGGACACUUCUCGGGUGAUGGGUUCACCAGUCUCAGAAAUCACCACUAAAGAAUUUAUCUAUCUAACCAAAAACCACCUGCAUCCCAAAAACUAUUACAUUAAACAAUUAUUUUUUUCCUUUCUUCUAAUUGUUUAGUUUUCUCUUGCUCUCAUAUUUCUUUUUUACUAAUGUUAUAAAUUGAAAGCUGACUACAGAUUUUUAUCUUUCUUCACUUUUAAUAUGAAAUUUUAAGUCAUAAUAUUCCUCUAAGCACUGCUUUUGCAACAUCACACUUAUUUUGAUGUCUUGAAUUUUCUUUAUAAUUCACUUAAAAUAUUUUCUAAUUUUCUUUGUGAUAUUUUUCUCUGCCCUAUGCAUUUUUUCAGAAUCUGUAAUUUUCAAAUAUUUGGGAAUUGCCUAAAGAAAUUAUUUUAUUGAUUUUGAAUUUCUUAGUUUGGUGUUCAUAGGAUACAUUCUCUAUAAUUUAAGUCUUUUAAUACUGUUAUCAUAGAAAACCUUAUGGUUGAAGGAAAUUAUCUGACCUCUUUCAAUGCCAUGUAGCUGAAGUAUAGGAAGUUACCCAGAAACAGUUCUUGAAUUAAUUGAAACUGAAAACUAUUAUUCUCAGAAUUUAAAUUCAUCAAAUUAAACAUUCACAAGAAACAAUGUCGGGAAUGUAACAUAUCUCUUUAGCUCUAGACAUACAUAUUCUAAGAGAGUAAACAUUCAAUACAUUAUUUUAUGCUUCCAGAAUAUCACACUGACCUUCAUGCACUAAAACACCUAUAAUCAUUUUAACAUUUUUCUGAACAUCUUCAAGUUGCUGAUGAUUAGUUCAAACUUUGAAGAUGGAUGGUGUAGGGAAUAGAUUUAAUUUCAGUAUUUGAGGCAACCUGAGAAUACUACUGAAACAAAAAUACCGUGUUUCAUCUGCUUCAAAGGCCUACAAAUAUUUAAUACUGAAAUCUCCGAUUUUAAAUGUGGCAACCUUGGGAGGCCUUAUUUUACAGUAACUUGAUUUUUCAAAUUCUAGGAGAGGCUUGGGCUCUUUAUGAGUACUGGAAAUCUAGAGUGACAGGAAAUGAAAUAAAGUACAGUGAUGAUAGUGGCUAUUGUGUAAUUUAACAAAUCUACUUAGAAGAGGUUUUUCCCUUCAUAUGGAGAAAUUAUUUAUUACAUGUAAUUACUCCUGAAUAUAGAACAUUCACAAUCCCUUCCUUCCUUCCUUCCUUCCUUCCUUCCUUCCUUCCUUCCUUCCUUCCUUCCUUCCUUCCUUUCUUCCUUCCUUCCUUUCUCUUUCUUUCUUUUCUUUCUUUCUUUCUUUCUUUCUUUCUUUCUUUCUUUCUUUCUUUCUUUCUUUCUUUCUUUCUUUUUCUUUCCUUCUUUCUCUUUCUUUUCCUUCUCUUUCUUUCUUUCUUUCUUUCUUUCUUUCUUUCUUUCUUUCUUUCUUUCUUUCUUUCUUUUCCUUUCUUUCUCUCUUUCUUUCUUUCUUUCCCUCCUUCUUUCUUUCUUUCUCUCUCUCUCUCUCCCUCUCUCUCUCUCUCUCUCUUUCUUUCCUUCUUUCUUUCCUUCUUGAUGGAGUUGCCCAGUUGAUGGUUGUUGCCCAGGCUGGAGUGCAACAGCCUCAGCUCACCACAACCUCCGCCUCCCAGUUUCAAGCCAUUCUCCUCCCUCAGCCUCCCCAAGUAGCUGGGGUUACAGGUAUGAGCAACCAAGCAACGCCCAGCUAAUUUCAUAUUUUUAGUAGAGAUGGGGUUUCUCCGUGUUGUUCAGACUGGUCUCGAACUCCCUACCUCAGGUGAUCCGCCUGCCUCAGCCUCCCAAAGUUCUGGGAUUACAGGCGUGAACAACCAUACCCAGUCAGUAGCAUAUUUCAUAAUAAAUAAAAUAGACUUUCUGCAUAGAAGGCUAUAAUAAUUGAUAAUUAAAUUUAAUUACUCAAAAUUCCAAAUUCUGGCCAAAAAUCCUAUGUGUGAUUUUUUUAGGGUUGAUGAUAGAUUUUAAUAUUUGAUUAGGCUUAUAUUUUGAUUUACAAUUUCCCAAUCUAUUGUUCAUAUCUCUCAAGUAGUUCAGAACUCAUAGAAGAAAAAUUAUUUAUGAUACAGUUUCUGAUUUUGACACCAGAAACUAUGCUAAACCCUUUAUAGGAUGAAUUAUUUUCAUGAUCAAAAUUGACUUUUAUAGUAUGUUCUAUUUUAUCAGUUUUACAAAUGAGGCUUUAAUUAUUACACAAUUGCACUAUUUUUCAAAAAUCUAACAGAAUUAUUUCAAACUUUUAGAUGACAGCUUUAAAAAUAUGUAUUUUAUAAAAAAUGCAUUUAUUUUAAUACAGAUUAUAAUAAUAAAAAUGUAUGGCCUAAGGAAAUUUGCCUAUAAAUCAAUGUUUGUCUUUAAGGCCUUCACACUUUUUGCACCUAAGAUGUGCACUUUACUUUUGGUGUUUGUUUCUUGCUUAUUUCUUCUUAUUUUCUUUCUUUAUUCAGAAAGCAUUUAUUAAUCGAAUGACAACUCUAUUCUGGGGAUGGAAAAAUAUAGAAAUACAGACAAAAAGCUCAUAGAAAGACAAACUACCUUAUUACAAAUAAAUUUGGUGUUUAUUGGAGAAUAGAUGAUGUGUCAAAGUAUAGGCAUGCCCACAAUAGAAUGAUGUUUGAACAAAGUCUAGAAGAAUGUAAGUUCAUUAGGGCUGCAGAAAAGCAAAAAUGUGUAUACUAGGUAAAAAGAAAAACAUGAUCUAAAUCAUAAGAGGCUGUCAUGACUGGGAAAAUACCAAAUAUGAAUGGAAAUAAGUAUAAUUCUUAAGUUUAUCUUACUGUUCUCUUUUUUAAGCCUGGAAUUACUUUUGCUUAUCAGGUGAUCAUUGUGGGUCAUUUUUCCUUUUGGUAAUUAGGUUAUGCAUAUAUUGUUAUAUUUAAUUUAUUUAACAACUUUUUGAAGAGAAAGUAAGAGAAUUGACUUUGACCCUGUUUUACCAAAGAAAAACAAUGUCUGAAUUUUAUGACAUUUGGAAAAAACACAUGAGAAAAUGAUAACACUAAUUUAUAUAAAUCCUAAAGCUAAAGUACAAAUAUUAUGGAGGACAUAUUAGAGAAGAUAUACAUAAUUAUAAGAGAUAAAUUCUAUUUCACUGUUAUUCUUUCAUCUAAUGAAAACACAAUGAAAGUACUGAACAAAAAGAAGAAUAUUUUAACAUUAAGAUUAGUAGUAUUAGAGAAUAAGGAGACGUGAAUGGGCAUACUUGUUCAAAGAAGUCAGUCUAAGAGAUAAUGCAAAUUUAAUGUGAUGUAAUAUCAAGUGUCUACUUCAAAAGAAGUAAAAUUGCUUUCAGUGCCUGCUGAACUACCUAUAGAUUAUCUAUUUUAGACUCCUAAGUUUAAAAUUAACUUAAGAAUGGAUGAAUGACUAAGGUAAUAAAAAAUUUGAAAGCAGUGUUAUCUGAGGAACACAAAAGCGGUUGAAAGUUAAUAUUUGGAAUACAAUGGUGAAUUUUCUUCAAAUAUUUGAAAAUCUUUAUGUAGAAAAAGAAAAAUACUUGUUCUGUUUUUAUUCAGACAGUGGAAUUAGGAUGACUGUUGUUGAAAAGUAUAUUAAAACUUAUGAGAAUUCUAGAGUGGUAGUUAAUCAAAAAUAAAAUGUAUAAUAUGACAGACUGAUGAGCUUUCUUUUACUAAAAAAGAUACCAAUGAGACUGAUUCACAAUCUACAGUCUUGUAGAGGGAGACUGAUUUUGAAAAUGUAUGCCUGGUGUAAUUUAAAAAUUUUCACAUUAAGAAUAUGCAACUAAAGAUCAAAAGGUAUGCAUAAAAUAUUAAUUUACGUUUAAUUUACUAUGUUUUUAUUUAUCUUGCUUAAUCAUUUUAAGUUCAGGUUUAAUACAUUUGUUAUUUUCUUUGAUUGUUCAAAGUGUUAGAUGCUGAAUUCAAAUACUUUUAAUGCAUAUUAAUUUCCACAAACUUUAAUAGAACAUUAAGUUAAAAAUAUGCACUGACAAUUUUGAAAAAAUAAUAUAUUUAUGUGGUUAUUACAUGUAUCUAAUAUUUUCAGAGCAAAUGAGACAACUUCCUGAAACAUGGAGAAGGAAGGUGAUACAGCUUGCUUUCUCAAUCUACGAACAAAUGGAAAUACUAUUCUGGAUAAUUUGUAAUUAAAACUUUUAGGUUAAAAAAAAUUGGAAACAAGUAAAAUCAAGUAAUCUGGAAGCUGAAAUUAUGAUGACAAGGACCUAGACUGGGGCAGAAAUUCUGAACAAAGUUAAGGACAAUAGACUGUGCCCUGAGCCUGUAUAACUCAUAAAGAGAAAACUGAGAUUCUCAAUAAAUGCUGGGUAUCUAAAAUACAGUAACAUUCUCAUAAUAGGAACUAAAAUUAUCCCUUCUUACUGGGCCUGGUGAGGCAGAAAGGAGGUGUACAAUAGAUACAGACCUCUGAGAGACAGAGAGAAAAAAAUUUCCUUGUGAGAAGUCAAAAUCUCAAACCAGCGUAGGAGUUAGUGAAUCAAAAUGUAUUCCACCCACACAUGCAGGGAUCCAAAAAUGAAAAAUAACAUAGUGUCCAGAACUGUUAAAUUCUCCUGUGAGAGCAGACGGAAAAUUUAAAACUGCUCUAUGGAAAAGUUUUCUGAAAAAUGUAUUAACAGUAGACUUUCAUCAAAACAAAAAAUAACCAACCCAGCAAAUCUAUUUUAACUGAGCUUACAAUCAAAAAGAACAUAUCUUAAGAGAAUACAACAACAAAACACAACAAAACAAAACAAAGAAAAACUAAACUCAUUGUAAGGAAAUAUUAUAACUAUAACGCAUAAAAUAGCUCUCUCAAAGAAACACAAAACAAAAGAAGUCUAAAAAUAGAGUGAGUACAUGUAUUUUAAAAUUGUAAAAGAAUUUUAUUUUCUCCCUAGGCAACAAAAAGGAUAACAUUGAAAAAAAAUCAUUUUUAUAAAGAAAUAAAUAAACUAUCUUGAAAUGAAUACACAUUUUAUAAGCACCCAAUUUUCUGCAUCAAAUCUCUUUUCGUUCAAAAUAACUGGAUCCCUGCAGUGAAACCCUUUCUUAAUACAUCAAGGAUUUACUCCUCCAGAAACUCUUAUGCAGUAAUGUAUGUGUUAAUAAUAUUCAUGUAAUAAUGAAUUGAUUUUAAAAAGUCUUCUUGGGUAUAGAGAUUGAUUAAUGUUUCAACUUAAAAUUUAGAGUAUCUUUAAUCAUAUUUUUAACAAGUUUAUUUUAGUACAUUGUUAUGGCUAGCUCCUUAAAUAUGCUAAUAUAAUUAUACAGCAUUAGAAUAUCUGUGCAUCUAUUAAAUCACUUGUUGACAGAUUUGGAAACAUGUUUUCAAUAUGAGAGCAAUCUAUUAUAAAUUGAUAACACCAACACCUGAUAUCACACUAGGGUUGUUGCUGUUGAAAUGCCUUCUGUCUUUCAUAUUAACUCCUAGUACUGCUUUAGCAAGUGGUAAAUUUUAAAUAGUCUAAUUAUUAUUAUUAUUGGCAUCAUGUAGUGGAAUUUAUGGCCUAAUUAUAUUUUGACAGAUAAAGAAACAGUAAUCUCAGUUACAGUAAAAUUCUGACAGCAUGUCUAAAGGACUAAUUUAGGCACUGGCCACCCUAUAUCACGAGUAGCUAAUCUUGGAGGUCACAUUUUGUCUGUCUUGCUUAUGUAAAAUCAUCUAAAAUAACUACCAGGAUGGAUUUGUUGCAGGACUUUUCCUUAGUUCAGCUAAAGACUGGUUUCUUUGUCCCACAGCCAGGAAAAUCUGGGCUUGCAGACAAUUUGAAUGGUGAGUAAGACAGGGUUUUAUUGGGUGAGAAAGAAGAAAAAGGGGAAACAGGGACUCUCGCUAGGCCAGGAUCCCAGCUGGAGUGCUUCCCGCCUUGCCAUUUAAAUCCCUGGUUCCAUAAAAGAAGAAGAAGAGCCAGGCUCCUCCCUGCUGCAAAUGUCGUGAACUUCCCAAGGCUCUACCUCAGUGGGCAGGCUGGUUGAAGUCUCUCCAGGGACCACUUCCCACCUGACUGGCUCAGAAUAAAGUUGUGUAAAAUGGAAUGAAGAAUGAUGGGUAUGUAUAUCUCACUUGUAAUAAACCAGCACAAAAUGUAGUGUCCUCUCCCCUUCCAAAAAGCUGUUUAUUGUCUGUCAUUAUUCUGUGUUUUAGCACGGCAUUCUUAUCUGAUUUGGCCAAGCUGUGACAGAUUUACCUAGAAUGGGUUAACUCAUCUAACUCAUACAUCUGGAUUCUCAGCUAAAAAGGCAGGAUGUCUGAAGCCACUCUCCAUUUGAUCUCUUAUUAGUCAAUGGAUGGAUGCAUCUUGAUUAGUUCAUGUAGUGAAAGAAGAAAUUCCAUCAGAACUUGAGGAAAUGUUCCAAUGAGCAAAUACUUUUAAUUUCUCUACCUGUGUUAUAUCUACGGGUAUCCUACAGAACAAGGCAAGUUAUACGGCCAAACCCACAUUCAAAAUGAAAGAGAAUUACCCAAUGUGUGUAUAGAAAGUGACGCUUUAUAGAACAUAUGUUUAAAUAUUUCUAUAGGGUAGAUUAAUAGGGGAAAAAUAUAGUUUAUGCGUGUUUUAUAAUUUUUUACAUUGACCAAUAAGAUCAUCAAACUAAAACCUUUUGCUCCAAUUAAAUGCUAAGCAAUCAAGUAUCUCAUUUUAUUUUGCUUUUGUAUACAUACUUUUCUAGAUUGAGAUAAAUCACUGAUCAGGAAUCUCAAAAUUUGCAUUUGUACUUCAUAUUUUAAACAAAAAAUGGAGAUUAUAGAUUAUAUGUCAGUGUUUAAAAAUAUAAUUUAAAUCUUGCUGAAUCUGACUCACUCAGAUUCACUUGCUAGACAAAAAUAAAUAAAUACAUCAAAAUUUUAAAAAUAUAUAUUUAAAGCCCUUCCUGUGUGGCUGCUAUCCUUUUAUGACAUUUUUGUGAUUUCUCUCUUUAUAUGUGGGUCAAAAAUUAUUUGAACUUCCCAUUCAUUAAUCAAAGAUGACUUUCAGUUUAUUAAAUCCAACAGCCCCCUGUAAAUUAUAAGCAAAAACUCAUCUGGUUCUUCUAUAUCUGUAUUAAUGUGUAUUUUUUUCUUCUAAUAGGUUCUUUAUCUGUCCCUUAGAUAUUGUUUAUUUCAAGAUUCCUGUCAAGAUCUAUUUUCUUCUCAAAUAUGCUCUACCGGAGUAAUCUUAUGGUUCCUGGCACAGUGAUUGGGAACACUGCAGUUUGCCUCGAUCACUCAUACUACUACCGCUUAUUUGUAGGGUGGAAAACCUGAAAAGACUGUAGGCUACUACUCCAAUCCUAAAGCAGGGACGUCAUUCAGAAAGAAUCAUGCGACUGCUUCUGCCCCAAACUCAGAACCAUUGCUUAGAGAUUUUGCCCAGGGUGAAAUGCAGGAAAAACAAACAAACAAACAAACAAAUAAACAAACAAAACUCUGAAAGUUUCCCAAAGAAAUGGAUUUUAUUAAAACAGAGUUUGAAAAAGUUAAAACAUAAGGGUACCCUCAAAAACAAUGGGAAAUUGUUGACAGGUAACUAAGAGAAGAAGAGAAGGGUGGUAACUUCAUGAGAUAUACAAGUUAAACCAUUGGUCCAGUAGUUUGCCAGAAAGAAUGAUGAACACACUGCUAAGAAAAUGCCUUUCUGGGGCCGAAAAAAACCAAAAUCUUACCUCAAGAGCUGCCCCUUCAAAAUAAUCUAUAUUUAAUUGGUAUUAAACUAAUAAUAAAGAAAAGAAGCCGCUCAGAAAGAAAACUCAGACUCAUAUGGCUUCCCUGGUGAUUCUCCCAAUCAUUUAAAGAAGAAUUAAUACCAAUACUUCACAAGUUCUUCCAAGAAAAAUAGAGGAACAUGUCCCAGAAAAUUUUAUGAGGUCAGUAUUAUGUCGACAUCAAAUCCAAAAAAAAAAAAAAAAUCAACAAGGAAACAAAAUAAAAACUACAGACCAAUAUUUUUUAUGAAUGCAGCCAAAAAAUUUCUCAACAAAAUACUAGCAAUAUAGAAAAAGAAUUCUGAACCAUAUCCAAGAGGGAAUUUUUUCAUAAUUGAAAGUUAGUUUAAUAUCUUAAAAUCAAUUAAUGUAAUAAACCAUACCAAAUGAAUAAAGGGAAAAAUUACAUGAUUAUUUUAAUAGAGGUAGAAAAAGCAUUUGACAAACUCCACCAAUUCUUUAUCAUAAAGACACUCAACAAAGUAGGUAAAGAAGAUAAAUUCCUUAACCUGUUAAACAGCAUCUAGGACAAACCCACAGCAGACAUCAAAGUUAAGGGUGAAGGAUGGAAUUCUUUCCUCGUCUUAACCAUCCACCAAUGUACACUUCAUGAGUAAACUGUAUAUUUGGUUUGAUAAAA